UGCCCAGGCGCCCCCGCGGCGCAGGCCCCGCCCCUCCCCGUGGCGGCGGCGGCGGAGGUAAACAAACGGGCGGCGGGCGCGGGGUCAGGGAGUGGGUGCAGCUCAUCAACGUGCAGCGCCUGCUGCAGGCGGCUGAGUACCUGGAGCGCCGGGAGCGAGGUCUACGCACAAUGAACUAGAAAAGAACCGCACUCUGCUUCUGACUGGGCCUUCACAGGGGGCACGAUUCCUGUCCCAGAGAGCUUCGAGUCGUCGGGGAGUGCGGGAGAGAAGGUUUGGCAGGAGAUGCCAUUGGUACGGAGAGAACGAGGGGCUAAAGAUGAAACUGGACUGUUUGUGCCACGGUUCAGUAAGAGACUGUCUCAGCACUGCAGUUGCUGGGACACAGCAGCUGCCCAGGCGUCAUCAUUGCAGUAGGAGGAUGGACCUGAAUGUGGAGCAUGUUCGGAUGCGUUGGAAUGAGAACGUGUGUUCUUUCAGCCGCCGAAAACAUUUCUCGAGGGUACGUGCGGAGACAGUUCGAGCCUCUGCGCCGGCCCUCCCCCUGCCCACUCUUCUUCCUGCUCCCCCAAAAACAACUCUGCUCCAUCGAUGCCAGGAGAAGUAGGAAACCAGAUCAAGAGAACAGCUUGUCCCUGUUGGAUAUUCGAGAUCGUGCCAGGCUUGAGGCAGCCUUGGACAUCCGGCCCAGACGAGGACAGAUCGUGUCCCCGAGCCCCACGUCAUGACCCCCAACGCAACCCCAACACCUGUUAACAAUCCUAGGUGCAUUGGUACAAAACCCAAGUGCUUGGAGAAGCUGCUCGAUUUGACAUGCUCUCAUCAGCUAAUCCAGCGCUGACCCUGCCUGGCGGCUGUUGGAUCUGUGGGCACCUUGGGUACGCUCCUGCAGUUGAAUCGGCCCCCCAGGCUUGAGUCUCUUCUUCUGAGGUGAGGUGUUGCGUUGGGUCCUGUGCUCUCUCUCCUGUGCCUGAAUGGACUUUCCUUUUUCCUGGGGGAAACAAGGCGAGCUCACCUCCGCCUGUGUUUAGAGCGCUUAAAAGUUCUGAUACCACUAGGACCAGACUGCACCCGGCACACGACG